rfam:Triticum urartu cultivar G1812 contig552775, whole genome shotgun sequence.
ACGACCUUACUUGAACAGGAUCUGUUCUAUAGGCUCGUACCGCUGCAUCCUUUACCAAUAAGGAGGCAAGCACUCAAGUCUGGUUGAUGCAUUCUCACCUCUGGGCCAGAGCGUGAUUAACGGCCUGGAUUCACCUGAUGGGUGCAAUCUGACGGCUGUAGAGGAUCGUCCCUACCCACACUUGUGUAUGUGCAGGGUGGCCUAGAGGGUUGUCUGACAGACU